GACGAACGCUGGCGGCGUGCUUAACACAUGCAAGUCGAACGGAAAGGCCCUGCUUUUGUGGGGUGCUCGAGUGGCGAACGUGUGAGUAACACGUGAGUAACCUGCCCUUGACUUUGGGAUAACUUCAGGAAACUGGGGCUAAUACCGGAUAGGAGCUCCUGCUGCAUGGUGGGGGUUGGAAAGUUUCGGCGGUUGGGGAUGGACUCGCGGCUUAUCAGCUUGUUGGUGGGGUAGUGGCUUACCAAGGGUUUGACGGGUAGCCGGCCUGAGAGGGUGACCGGCCACAAUGGGACUGAGAUACGGCCCAGACUCCAACGGGAGGCAGCAGUGGGGAAUAUUGCACAAUGGGCGGAAGCCUGAUGCAGCAACGCCGCGUGCGGGAUGACGGCCUUCGGGUUGUAAACCGCUUUCGCCUGUGACGAAGCGUGAGUGACGGUAAUGGGUAAAGAAGCACCGGCUAACUACGUG
rnacentral:rRNA from 1 species